UNUGACUUGAGUGCAGAAGGGGAGAGUGGAAUUCCAUGUGUAGCGGUGAAAUGCGUAGAUAUAUGGAGGAACACCAGUGGCGAAAGCGGCUCUCUGGUCUGUCACUGACGCUGAGGCUCGAAAGCGUGGGUAGCGAACAGGAUUAGAUACCCUGGUAGUCCACGCCGUAAACGAUGAGUGCUAGGUGUUAGGCCCUUUCCGGGGCUUAGUGCCGGAGCUAACGCAAUAAGCACUCCGCCUGGGGAGUACGACCGCAAGGUUGAAACUCAAAGGAAUUGACGGGGGCCCGCACAAGCGGUGGAGCAUGUGGUUUAAUUCGAAGCAACGCGAAGAACCUUACCAGGUCUUGACAUCCCGAUGCUAUUCUUAGAGAUAGGAAGUUACUUCGGUACAUCGGAGACAGGUGGUGCAUGGUUGUCGUCAGCUCGUGUCGUGAGAUGUUGGGUUAAGUCCCGCAACGAGCGCAACCCUUAUUGUUAGUUGCCAUCAUUAAGUUGGGCACUCUAGCGAGACUGCCGGUAAUAAACCGGAGGAAGGUAGGGAUGACGUCAAAUCAUCAUGCCCCUUAUGACCUGGGCUACACACGUGCUACAAUGGUCGGUACAACGAGUUGCGAGCCGGUGACGGCAAGCUAAUCUCUGAAAGCCGAUCUCAGUUCGGAUUGGAGGCUGCAACUCGCCUCCAUGAAGUCGGAAUCGCUAGUAAUCGCGGAUCAGCACGCCGCGGUGAAUACGUUCCCGGGCCUUGUACACACCGCCCGUCACACCACGAGAGUUUGUAACACCCGAAGUCGGUGAGGUAACCUUUUAGGGGC
rnacentral:rRNA from 1 species